GAUGAAGAACGCAGCGAAAUGCGAUAAGUAGUGUGAAUUGCAGAAUUCCGUGAAUCAUCGAAUCUUUGAACGCACAUUGCGCCUUCUGGUAUUCCGGAAGGCAUGCCUGUUCGAGAGUCAUUAACAACCGUUUCGAUCCCUUUCUUUCAGAAAUUACAAAGAGGAAAAGGGUUUGGUUAUGGUGGAGGAGGGAAAGGGAGCGUUUAGCCUGUAAAAAAAGAGGCUGUGUUCCGCCUCCCCCCCAAAAUUGUACAGGCGGUCGUGUGCGCCCACGCAUCGAGGUGUUGUAAAAGCUGCCACGGCACUUUUCACCUGUGCAGUGCGAGAUUGACCAGCCGGUUUAAAAACCCCUCCAAACAAUCAAAGGUUGACCUCGGAUCAGGUAGGGAUACCCGCUGAACUUAAGCAUAUCAAUAAGCGGAGGA
rnacentral:misc_RNA from 1 species